AGUGAGGAAAUUGUUGUUGUGAUUUCAGGACCCGGAAACGCAUGGCCCAUGAGAAGAUACACCUUCGUCUGUUUGGUGAGAAGUGUGCAAAUCAGCAUCAAUGUAGAACUGCUGAAGAAAAAAAAUAUAGUGUGGGUUAUUUCACCUUUGCAAGCUGGGAGCCAUUAAGUAAUGGCUCCCUCCACUCCCCCACCCCCUUCGGUGAAACACAUCCUGAACAUUGGGCCCAUGUUUUCCAGAAGAAUGUGCCCCACUGCCCCCUUGGAAACGCCAUUUCGUUUACUUGGUUCAGUUAGUUAAUGACGGUCCAUUUUGUCUCAAACAUCCAAUUCCCUUUCAUCAAUCAUGUCUUUCUGGACUGUCAGUUUCAGAGCAAUGAUUACCAACCCUUUCCACGCAGACACCCACAGACAUUCUGGGACAGAGACCCAGAUCCACUCCUCCGUUCAGGAUUUCCUAAGGACCCACUUCCCUCCAAAUGAAAAGAGUGAGUUAUGCGAAAGGUGGAAAACUCCACUGGAAAAUGGAUGUUGGUGACUCAAGUGUUAAUCUAGAAAUUCUUAUUAUUUGGUGCUGGAAAAAGGCAUUGUAAUAAGAUGGGUUUUUUAUACAAUCCAAACGUCAGGAAUACAAAACACUGUCAACCAUGAAAAUAAGAUUUAAUUUGGAAUCACAACACACAGGGUUUUUUUCCACUUUAAAUUCUCCUUAUUCAAUCAUAUUUGUUAUAAAUAUUCAAUAGAAAUGCAGUUUUCCAGGACUGAAAUGGUCUUUAAUGAAGCAAGCCAUGUGUGGCUUUUCAGUCAAGCAUUUUCAUGCUUGGCUAACUGUCAGUACGUUCAUGUUCCUUUCCCAAAAAAUAUUCUUUGUGACUCUGCUUAGGUCUCUGAAAAGCAACUUAUUCUCUGGAGACUUCAGGAAUCAUCCACACAUCACAAUUCUACAGACUUCAAAUGCAUGAAGCAUUUGGACGUGCUUUAACACAGAGGCAGACCUUCCAUUUAGACAUGGCCACCCGUCCACACGUCGCUACAAUUAAUUCAGCCUGGUGUGAGCACUUGCCUAGAAGCUGGAGGGGCCUAUGUCAGCUCCAGCUCUGCCACUCGUACAACCUGUUGUUUAACUUUGGGUUAGUUGCUUUCCCACAGAAGGCCCAAGAUGUCUGAUCUUUCAAAUAUGGAAGCUGAACUCAGGAAGAGAUCAUCGGAAUACAACCCUGGGGCCAAAUCCAGGCUGCUGCCUGCUUUUGUAAAUAAAGUUUUAUUGAAACACAACCAUGCUCAUUGGUUUACUAUUAUCUGCGGCUGCGAGGGCAGAUUCGAGCGGUUGUGAUAGAGACGAUCUGGCCGACAAAGCCUAAAAUAUUUACUGCCUGCCCAUUAACAGAAGAAGUUCGCCCGCUCCGGACUAGACAUUUUUGGAGGUCUUUUCCUAGUCUAGAAUUCUUCAUGUAUUUCUCUAAAACACCUAAUUGUUAUAUAGUAAUCCUUUCAAUCUCCAUAUAUUUACUGAGUUUCUCCUAUGAAGUAUGCCCAACAAUGCUUCAAAAGAUAUAUAUGAUACGUUAACCAAACUUCGUAAUGGUUUCUUUUCUUAUAGGAUUUAAAUUAUAUUAACAGCUCUUGGACAAUAUUUUUGGGCAAAUGUCUUAUGAUUUGAUUAUCACUGGUAAAUAGAGCUUACCUUUUCUUCUACUAAAAAUGUUGAAGAAGUUAAAAAAAAAAACCCUGUAUGGCACAGGAGACUUAUUGCAUUAAGACAUCGUUUUAACAGAUUGUUUAGUUUUGGUAAUAUAAUUUGACAUCUAAACAUAAGCUGAGAGGGAUCUCCCUCAAAACCUUUGAUAAUAUGAUUCAUUGUCAAAUGUUUGUUUUGCCUAUCUGGCACUCAUUAAUUAAUUCUUUUUAAUAUAGCUUGGAUUUACUGAUUUUGAAAAAGAGAAUUAUUCUUAUUGAUGUUGCUAAAAUAUCCAGGUGGCUUGAAUUUCACCAACUAGAUAGUUUAUCCUAGCACAUUUGUGUAGCCCUAAUCAAAUCUUUACUAACAGAUGUGAGAAGCCCAGUAUUGGAGCUGAUGUUUGUGUCUCUAUGAUAAUUAAAUUAGCUCAAUAAGGAAAAUAAAUAAACAAUAAUGACCAAAAUUUUCCCCUAAACUUGUAUUACAGUCUUUAAAAUGUUUUUUCCUCCCAUGGAGCCUUUCAGUAAUGAAAUACAAAUUGAGAAUUUUUAAUUUAAAGAUAUAACUUGGUUUUUUUUUCAAGAACUACUCAUGUACUAAAUUGCUUAUAAUCAAGUAAUCAAGGAGCACUCCUUUUACCAAAAAAGCAAAACCUAUACCCAAGCCAAAAUUCAGAAUUGAGGUUUUUUCAACAAAUUCAUUAUAAAGAUGGAAUAAUCCUUUCUUUUGGCCAAUAGUAUAGGAAGCUUUUUUUUUUCUCUAAAGUAUUAUCUCUUCAUAGUAUUUUCUAAUAGAUAGGAAAUGCCUUUCUCGGGUUGAAUGAUUAUUUCCAUAUAUAAUUAGUUCCUGCUUACGACAGUGCUGUACUAAUGUCACGGCUCAAUGAAUUGGCUUUAUAAUUCAUUCAUCAUAGCUUCCAUUGAGCUUUCGGCUCCGGGUGACAGGGCCCGCCACGAGCCAAAUAACUUCUCAUUUAAAGGCAAUUUGUACAAAUAGGAAAGGUUAGAAUCCUCACAUUCACCAAAGAUUGAAAAGCAUUUUAAAAGCCAAGAUAAGGCAGUUUCUGGAAGGCAAGUCCAUGGAGGAAAGGUGGCUAAUAGGUGAAGGCAGAUGGCUUUCGAGGGAGACCCUGGUGCAGCCGCCAUGGGGGAGGCCAUGUUGCAGCUGCAGAUCAGAGCACUUUUGACGGUGUUCUGUGGGAGAAUGGAGACAAUGCUGCCUCUGUUCCUGUUCCCUGCGCUCUGACCUUGCUGGAGGCCAAGUGGUGUCACAGCUGCACAUAUGGGAUGGUCAGUGGUGGUAGAAAGGGGGCCAGUGUGGUCCUCCCAGGACCAAGCCCGUCUCACCAAACUCGCAUGCCUGCAGGUGUGGCCACCUUUAUUUGUGUAUUCUGCUGUAUUUAUUUAUUUGCCUGGCUAAUCAGCUCGGGAUCACAUUCCCAAGCUAGAUGUGUCCCUUCUUUGUUCCCUCAUAAAAGAAAGAAAGAAAGAGGGGGAAAAAGGAAAGAAAGA
rnacentral:lncRNA from 1 species